rnacentral:rRNA from 1 species
AACUCCGUGCCAGCAGCCGCGGUAAUACGGAGGGUGCGAGCGUUAAUCGGAAUUACUGGGCGUAAAGCGCAUGCAGGUGGUUUGUUAAGUCAGAUGUGAAAGCCCGGGGCUCAACCUCGGAAUUGCAUUUGAAACUGGCAAACUAGAGUACUGUAGAGGGGGUAGAAUUUCAGGUGUAGCGGUGAAAAUGCGUAGAGAUCUGAAGGAAUACCGGUGGCGAAGGCGGCCCCCUGGACAGAUACUGACACUCAGAUGCGAAAGCGUGGGGAGCAAACAGGAUUAGAUACCCUGGUAG